GUUUGAUCCUGGCUCAGGAUGAACGCUAGCGAUAGGCUUAACACAUGCAAGUCGAGGGGCAGCAUGGUCUUAGCUUGCUAAGACUGAUGGCGACCGGCGCACGGGUGCGUAACGCGUAUGCAACUUGCCUCACAGAGGGGGAUAACCCGUCGAAAGACGGACUAAUACCGCGUACACUCCACUUUGGGCAUCCAAAGUAGAGGAAAUGAAAUUCGCUGUGAGAUAGGCAUGCGUCCCAUUAGCUAGUUGGUGAGGUAACGGCUCACCAAGGCGACGAUGGGUAGGGGAACUGAGAGGUUGAACCCCCACACUGGUACUGAGACACGGACCAGACUCCUACGGGAGGCAGCAGUGAGGAAUAUUGGUCAAUGGGCGAGAGCCUGAACCAGCCAAGUCGCGUGAAGGAUGACUGUCUUAUGGAUUGUAAACUUCUUUUAUACGGGAAUAACAAGAGUCACGUGUGGCUCCCUGCAUGUACCGUAUGAAUAAGCAUCGGCUAACUCCGUGCCAGCAGCCGCGGUAAUACGGAGGAUGCGAGCGUUAUCCGGAUUUAUUGGGUUUAAAGGGUGCGUAGGCGGCCUGUUAAGUCAGCGGUGAAAUCUAGGAGCUUAACUCCUAAAUUGCCAUUGAUACUGGCGGGCUUGAGUGUAGAUGAGGUAGGCGGAAUGCGUGGUGUAGCGGUGGAAUGCAUAGAUAUCACGCAGAACUCCGAUUGCGAAGGCAGCUUACUAAGGUACAACUGACGCUGAAGCACGAAAGCGUGAGUAUCAAACAGGAUUAGAUACCCUGGUAGUCCACGCAGUAAACGAUGAUAACUGGGCGUAUGCGAUAUACAGUAUGCUCCUAAGCGAAAGCGUUAAGUUAUCCACCUGGGGAGUACGCCGGCAACGGUGAAACUCAAAGGAAUUGACGG
rnacentral:rRNA from 1 species